GGGAGGAAAGGAAGGGCGUGUUAGUGGUGGUGCCUCGAGCUCCUCCGUUGUAGCACCAGAUAUUGCGUUCCUUGUUAAAGUGCAUGUUUUAAAUGGCAUAGGAGGCUGUAUGUGUGUUCGCUAUGGGACUGAAGGCAGUGUAUGUGUUUUAUAAGGUAUAGGAGGAAGACUAACAGCAAAACAAAAAUAAGGUAAAAGCCACAGCAUGCUGCUCCUAUAGAAAGUCAGGGUUAGGCCAGUGUAGAAGACUUCACUGGCUACGAGAGUGAUACAAAGACUGGGUUACUAUACUUACAAGCCUUCUGGAUGUACCUAGCUUUCCUGUAGUGUCCUUUUGGGUUCCUUAAUAAUAUGGUAAAUGCUAAGGCACUAUAUGACCUAAACAUCUGGUCUUUGCUAUAUAGAGAUGAAGUAGUGAUUGAUAAUUAAACGUCACUAAAUUGUACAAAGAGACACACUGAGAGAGGAAAAAAAGUCACGUACCUAAGUAUAUUUGCAUCAUAGUCUUAACUUGCUGAUAAUUAUAAAAGUUCCUACCUUAAAAUGACAUACGUUUAUACAAAUGUACUAACAAAGGAGAGCAUAGCGAUGGACAUUCAAUGAUCAACUCACCCACAACAGCAAGGAAGGAAAAGAGAGAGACACAUUAAACAUUCUGCCAAAACAAAGCACAGUCACAAAACAUCCACCAUCACUGAACCAAGACACUGAGAAAGGGAAUGAAGGGGAGGUGACGUGACACUUUGAGGACAACACCAUAUACACACACACACAUGGACCAAGGCAGCUCAGGGACAUCAUGAAUAACCAAAAGGAAAAGAGGGAAAAAAGGAAAAAGGAAA